rnacentral:tRNA from 1 species
GACCCCGUAGCUCAGCAGGAUAGAGCGGCAGAUUCCUAAUCUGUAGGUCGUAGGUUCGAAUCCUAUCGGGGUCGCCA